CCUACGGGAGGCAGCAGUGGGGAAUCUUGGACAAUGGGGGCAGCCCUGAUCCAGCCAUGCCGCGUGAACGAUGAAGGCCUUAGGGUUGUAAAGUUCUUUCAGCGAGGAAGAUAAUGACGGUACUCGCAGAAGAAGCCCCGGCUAACUCCGUGCCAGCAGCCGCGGUAAUACGGAGGGGGCUAGCGUUGUUCGGAAUUACUGGGCGUAAAGCGCACGUAGGCGGGCUGUUAAGUCGGGGGUGAAAUCCCGGGGCUCAACCCCGGAACUGCCUUCGAUACUGGCAGCCUAGAGUUCGAGAGAGGUGAGUGGAAUUCCGAGUGUAGAGGUGAAAUUCGUAGAUAUUCGGAGGAACACCAGUGGCGAAGGCGGCUCGCUGGCUCGAUACUGACGCUGAGGUGCGAAAGUGUGGGGAGCAAACAGGAUUAGAUACCCUGGUAGUCCACACCGUAAACGAUGAGAACUAGACGGUGGGGAGGUCACUCUUCGCUGUUGAAGCUAGCGCGUUAAGUUCUCCGCCUGGGGAGUACGGCCGCAAGGUUGAAACUCAAAUGAAUUGACGG
rnacentral:rRNA from 1 species